UACGAAGGGGGCGAGCGUUGUUCGGAUUUACUGGGCGUAAAGGGCGCGUAGGCGGCCAGCUUUGUCAGGCGUGAAAGCCCUGGGCUCAACCUGGGAAUUGCGCUUGGGACGGGUUGGCUUGAGAUCGGGAGAGGAGAGUGGAAUUCCCAGUGUAGAGGUGAAAUUCGUAGAUAUCGGGAGGAACACCUGUGGCGAAAGCGGCUCACUGGACCAUUACUGACGCCGAUGCUCGAAAGCUAGGGGAGCAAACAGG
rnacentral:rRNA from 1 species